rnacentral:rRNA from 1 species
CAGUCGCCACGGUAAUACAGAGGGUGCAAGCGUUAAUCGGAAUUACUGGGCGUAAAGCGCGCGUAGGUGGUUUGUUAAGUUGGAUGUGAAAUCCCCGGGCUCAACCUGGGAACUGCAUCCAAACUGGCAAGCUAGAGUAUGGUAGAGGGUGGUGGAAUUUCCUGUGUAGCGGUGAAAUGCGUAGAUAUAGGAAGGAACACCAGUGGCGAAGGCGACCACCUGGACUGAUACUGACACUGAGGUGCGAAAGCGUGGGGAGCAAACAGGAUUAGAUACCCCUGUAGUCCCUGUCUCUUAUACC